UACGGAGGGUGCGAACGUUAAUCGGAAUCACUGGGCGUAAAGCGCGCGCAGGCGGUUUGUUAAGUGGGAUGUGAAAUCCCCGGGCUUAACCUGGGAAUUGCAUUUCAAACUGGCCGACUAGAGUACGGUAGAGGGAGGUAGAAUUUCCUGUGUAGCGGUGAAAUGCGUAGAUAUAGGAAGGAAUACCAGUGGCGAAGGCGGGUCUCUGGGCAGUAACUGACGCUGAGGAGCGAAAGCGUGGGGAGCGAACAGG
rnacentral:rRNA from 1 species